rfam:Camelus ferus unplaced genomic scaffold scaffold1052, whole genome shotgun sequence.
GAAGGUAUAGCUCAAGUGGUAGAGCACAUGCCUAGCAUGCUCAAGGUCCUGGGUUCAUUCCCCAGUAUCUCCU